UAUAAUUAAGCAGGAUUAAUGUUUGUCUUCAUUAAUAAAUAAAAUUGAAGGGUGAAAAUGAGUUUAUACAGUAUUAAAGUUUGAUGUUAUUGCUGUUUGCGUCAAUAAACAAACUUGCUAUAUAAAAUUUUAGCCGGUUUAAUUUUUAAUUAAAAAAGUUAGUGUAAUUCCCUUCGCAAGCUUCCAUAAUUUUUUUAUAUUAAUUUAGUAUUUUAUUCUCUUUGAUCAAGUCUAAAAUAAGUUUUACUAAUAUUUUCUUUGACAAAUUUAAUAACAUAAUUGAAGAGUAAGCUUUUAGAAAAUACAGAAAUAUUUUAAUUGAGUUUUAAAAAAAUAGACACUAAAUAGCUAAUUAAUUUUAACAACACGCAAUAACCUGACAAUAAUUUACUUUUUUUUUUUUAAUUUUUCACAAUUUUGAUUCUCCUAAACUUUCCUUUAUUUUUUCAUUUCCAUCAUACUACAAUUUGAUUUAUUUUGGAUUUGGUUACUCAAAUUUUGAUAUUGACAAAAAAAAAAUGAUUUAACUUUUAAAAAAAAUAAAAAUUUACAAAUAUAUUUACACUAAUUUUGAUUUCUCAAAAUCUAAAUUCAAUCCAAUAAUUUUAAAUCGGUG
rnacentral:misc_RNA from 1 species